rnacentral:pre_miRNA from 9 species
UCUCGAUAGUGUAAAAGUUAACUUAAAUUUGUAUGGAGUCGGAACUUUUGCCUACGUUUGCCGCUAGGGGCGCUGUUCCGACUGUAUACAAAUUUGAAUUAACUUCGACUUAACUAA